UACGUAGGGACCGAGCGUUGUCCGGAAUCAUUGGGCGUAAAGAGCGUGUAGGCGGCCGCUUAAGUCCUGCGUGAAAUCUUGCGGCUCAACCGCAAGCGGUCGUGGGAAACUGGGUGGCUAGAGUGCGGGAGAGGAGAGUGGAAUUCCUAGUGUAGCGGUGGAAUGCGCAGAUAUCAGGAAGAACACCCGUGGCGAAGGCGGCUCUCUGGAACGCAACUGACGCUGAGACGCGAAAGCGUGGGGAGCAAACAGG
rnacentral:rRNA from 1 species